AAGGAGCGCCACGUUUGGCUGUUUGCAGAUGAGAUGUUAUACUGCAAAUAAUUAGUCAAGUAUUUUUUCCUGACUUUCCUGCCUCUUUGGAACAAAUCCAUUCACAUUUACUUUGGAGAGCACCGGGACAUUGACAUAAACAGGACUUUCCAACUACUUCAAAACAUUUGGUGACAAAUGAUUUUGGUUUUCUUGUUUUUUUGCCUUUGGAUUUCUUCAUUUUUAUUUUAUUUUUA